rnacentral:lncRNA from 1 species
AAUUUAUAUAUUUAUAUAUAUUUAUAUAUGAUUAGAUAACAGUAGAAGAUUAAGAAAACAUCAAUAAAUUAUUUUCUGAUUUGUUUACUUACAAUGAUAAAAGUGACAUUAUCAGGGAUGACUGCUUAGUUAAGCGUUUGAAAAGUAAAGUUAGAUUUCUAUUUAUAAAUUUCAAGACAUGAUUGAAUAUGAACAAUCAAAUCGUGGAAAUACUAAGAAAAUGUGGGUGAAUAUAUAACAUUGGAGUGAGAGAACACUUUUAUGGCAGAAUCUUUAAAGAUUGCUGAGUAUAUAAUGUUUUGACAUAAGUAAUUUAAAGGCAAAUAAUUAGAGCACAAAAGAUAGAAAAGGUAAUAAAUGAAGUCUUAAAUUCAUUCCAGUAAAAAAUAAUUUGUAUCCAGUAAAAAAAAAAAAAAAGCACUCCAAUAGGAAAUGGGUAAUAAAGAUGAAAAAAGGUAGUAUCCAGUAGUUAAAACUACCAUAUUCUUAAGAUGAUAUUUAGUGUUGGUGAAACUGUAGGGGAAUGUAAAACAGAAUAUAGCCUUUCCAGCAAGUAUCAGAUUUUCAAAAUGUGCACAGAUCAUUCACUGUCAUCCUCUUAUUCCUAGAAUACAAAUCAGACUAAUGAACAUGGCUUACAAAAUCCUGAAAGGUUGUGCUCUCGCCUCCUGUCAGUUUGAGCUCCUCCUUAAUUCCUGGUUUAGCUAGGCUGCUCUUCCAAUUCCUGCACCUUCCAGCCCCGGACUUUUUAAAUUGCUGUUCUUUUUGCUGCAAACACACACAGUUUCUUCCUUCUUUGCCUCACUAGCACUAAUGACUCAUCAGAUCUCAGCAUAAUUGCCAAUUCUUUGGGAGGCUUUUCCCUGGAAGCACAGUUUAUUACUUUGCCUUUAACACUGUUGCAGUUUACAUUUAUUUCCUUGUUUCUCUCACCAUAUAGAAGGGAUGAAGUUGGGGAGAACCUGGUAUUUAGUUCAGUCCUGGAUGAGUGCCAGCAGAAGUUUGAAAGGAUGUCAUGCAUGUGUGAGAUUUAGCUUUCCAGAUAUUCAUUGCAUUGUUGGUUACUAGGAAAAAAAUCAGAAUUAGCAGAUGUUCAGCAGAGUGAGCUAUGGCCACAUUUGAACACUGUUUGGGUCCAUGAUUAGGGAUGGCUUAUUUCAAGACUGAUGUAAUUAUUGCAUCCAGAAGAAAGGUCUGGAUUUUAACCUGGGAGCUAAAUAGAUAAACUAUCAAAGCUGGCAGAAAUGCCCCAUGGGUCAGAGCCUAAAGCCAGGUACAGGGUGGGGAGAGGAUGCAGAGUUAAUUGUGAGACUGAUCAGUUUCAUUUCUGUUGGAAGUUGGAGAGAAGAUAAUUGGAGCUGUAGAUCUCACUGGGGGUGGGCAGCAUUGUGGGGACACCCCUCUGGAGGAAAUGAGCAAGUCCCUGCCUCCUAGCAGCAGGGUGGGGCCUAAGGAGAAAGGUCCUGGUUAUAAACUCCUGUGAAGGGAUGUCACAGGUUCUAAGAACACUGAAAUGCGUGAGCCACUGUUAUUUUUCCUACAUUGUUAAUUCCCUUCUGUUAGCCUCACAUUCAUUAAGUCUUUGUCAAGAACUACAGCCCAAUGUGAGCUGUGUUUUGGAUGAUUCAGGGAGGGACUGUGUCCAUACUGGGGCCAGAUGGUACCUAGGUGGCUGGGGUAAUCCAAACACUGGUCUCAAGGCCAGAUUGUGACUAGUAACAACCAGGAUAUAUGUUUCUGGAAUAUAAACACUUCUAGGACUUCUUACAUUAUUAUACAUUACCAUAAAGACUAGACCUACAGUGAGAGGGUCAGAUUUAUGUUAGAUAGGUAAAAGAAAAGGGUGAUCUGGAGGGCUGGAGAAUUGGAGACAUUCACAUCAUACUUUGGUGACAUAAUUAGAUGCCACAGCUCACCAGUAUUGUAACUAUUUUCCUUGGCUCUUUCUACCAUCGCUAUUGAAAUUAGGCUUUUCAAAUUAGUGGCAGGAAAGGCCAUAUUUGGAGCUUCAAAUACACAGUCCCAGUGGCAGUUCUUGCCUCUGUGUUUUUUUGUUGUUGUUGUUUGCUUGUUUGUUUUGAGACGGAGUCUCACUCUAUCGCCCAGGCUGGAGUGCAGUGGCACUAUUUCGGCUCACUGCAACCUCUGCCUCAGCCUCCCAAGUAGCUGGGAUUACAAGCGCCUGCCAACACGCCCAGCUAAUUUUUGUAUUUUUAAUAGAGAUGGGGUUUCACCAUUUUGGCCAGGCUGGUCCUGAACUCCUGACCUCCUGAUCCACCUGCCUCGGCCUCCCAAAGUGCUGGGAUUACAGGCGUGAGCCACUGCGUCCGGCCUUGCCUCACCGUUAAAAGACUACAAUAUGACGUGAUACAUCAGCUUUUUCGAAGUCCAGUGUACGUCAGACCCUGAGGCCUGCAGUAUCUGGAAUGGUGUUGCUGGAUGUGCAAAACUGCCAGGCUCUGGCUUGUGGUGUUCUCAUCUACCAGAUCAUUCCUGGGAGGCCCAAUUUGGCCAGCUGGCUCACCUCUGCCGGUGGUAUUGCUAGCAUUGCACAUUGGAACUGCAGCUUGGGAAAGUGAUAGAAACCAAACACAUGGUGGGUACAAAGCAAGUUUGUUGUAUUUUAUCCACAUUAGUAUUUUGGAUGUUUCAAUAUUUAAACAUUUCAAAAAGCAAAAUCAAUGAUAAUACUUCUUGAAUGUGUUGUGAACAAUGCAAGCCUUUUAUUAAAAAUUAUGGAAUAUUCGAAAGAAAUGUUUUUCUUACAAGAGAGCAGAGAAUAAUUACUCAGGGUUCCUGUGUCAAAGCCUCUAGGGCCCCUUUACUGUCCAGAAUUCUUAGUAAGUGGAAAACCUUUCCCAAGCACAAUGAAGUCUCAACCCUGAUACGGGCAGGACAGCAAAAGACCUGUCUCCUCUUUCCAGAGCAAACCCCAGUGGUUGCACCUGUCCUCCCAUUACACUUUGGGGAUAAACCCUGGAGGCCAUAGUGUAGGGGACCAGUUUCAUGGGUCUUGUUGCCAAAGCUUACUUUUUUGAUCCUACUGCUAAAUUCUGACCCUUCCUCCAAUUGAUCUGCUUUCCAAAAAGAGCAUACCAACACCUGCACAAACCAUUUGAUGUGGUGCAGUAAGCUGUUUCAUCCAAGUGUUCCAAAGCCAUAGGAUGAGCAAGGGGGAAAAACUUAGACCUGUAUAGGAUCUUCCCCCAGGUAGUUACUCUUUCACAGGGGGUGCAUGGGAGACAGGCUGCUGUUGUGCCAUCCUUUCCAUUACAUAAUGAUAACAACUGUUACUUGGAAUGCUUUAAUGCUUGAUGUUAUUUAUGUUUAAAUAUUUGCUGUAUUCCUGGCUCUGUGCUAAAUGCUAUGCCUGCAUCUUAAAAAAUCCUUAAAAUAACUCAAGGUAGGUACCAUUGUUGCUUCCAUUCUCCAGAUGGGACACUAAGACUUUAAGAAGUUAAAUAGCUCACCUGAAAACACACAGCUAGUAAGUAACACAAUGGAGACUUGAACCCAAGUCUAUUCUACUCUAGACCAUGGACUCCAAGAUUAAUUAAUUAUGCAAAUAAGGAAUGUGGAGAGUUCAGCCUUGAGCAAAGGGAGAUUAGCUUGUUUUGCACCAACUCUUCUGCUGAGGAAAGGACAAAAGCCAGAAUAUACAUACCUAUUCAGGGAUCAGAGGGCUGUUGAGAAAGCAAGGGCUAAUAUUCGAGAGACCUACAUUUGAUACUGUUCGUUUCCCCCUCAAGGGACUUGCUAAUUCAAGGGCAGGGGCUGAGAAACUGAACAGAAUUUGUAGAAGACUAAUGCAGACCAAAAAUUAGAGUUGGGGUCCAAGUAGAAGCAGCCCUGGAAAACACCCCAGACUUUCUCGUGGGACCCCAAAGAGCUACUCUUUGAUUAAAGGUGAAUUGGUUAUGGGCCUGUCCUCACAAGGACUGAAGCCCAGCCUCAGAUCUAGUGGAUAGCCAGAAGCAAAAACAAAGCCCCUCUGAAGGAGGACAUGGUCUAAUUUCUCAAAUUUUCUCUAUUAAUUGUUUUCAAAGUCUGCUUAAGAAAUAGGAAUGCAAAAACACAAGAUUCGACCAACAAUGAGAAAGUGAACAAUAGAAACAGACCUCCAGGAAAUUCACGUAGUUAACAUUAUCUGACCGGUGUCUUACAAUAACUAUGAUUAAAAUGUUCAUGAAUUAAAUGACCAAAUGGAACAACUUCAGGAGAGAACUGGACACUAUGUUUAAAAUUCUAGAAUUGAAAAAUAAUAUAACAAUUUAAGAAAUCAGUAGAUGGCUCUGAUAGACACAACUUAAGAGAUAGGUAAUGAAAUGAAAGAUAAGAAAAUAUCCAGACUGGUGCUGGGGGUAAAUAGGAAGACAACUAUUCGAAGAGUUAAUGGUUAAGGUUGUUCCCAAAUUAAUGAAAGACAUUAAGCCACAUAAAUAAGAAAUGCUGUUGACCUCUAAGCAGGAUAAGUUACAAUGAAAGUUAUACUUAAUUACUUCAUAGUAAAACUACUGGAAAACAAAGACUAAUUUUAAAAGUAGCCAGAGGAAAAAUAUAUAUUACUUUCAAAGGAGCAACAGCAAGCCUUGAGAGGGAAUUUUCAGCAGAAGUAAUGAUAGUGGAAAAUGGAAUGGUGUUUUCAAAGAGCUUCAAGAAAAUAAUAGUCAACCUAGAAGACUAUGAGGCAAAAAUAUCCUUCCAAAGACACGUCCAGACAAAGGAAAAUAGAAUUUGCCACCAAUGAAAAGUACCAAAAGUAUGAAAGGAAAGUACUAAAGGGUGUUGUUGGAGCAGAAGGAAAAUGAUCACUGACCACAGCUGGAGGUGCAGAAAGGCAUUGAAAGGCAAUGGAAAGGGUAAGUAUGUGUAUAAAACUAAAUAAAUAUUGAAUGUGUGAAACAACUUUUUACUUUCUGGGGUCUUAAAUAUAUAAAGAACUAAAAUACAUCACCAAGAGAAGCACGUUAAGUGUGGAGGGAGGUAAAUGUAGGGGUCCCCAACAUUUCUGGCACCAGAGACCAGUUUUGUGGAAGAUAAUUUUUUCCCAGACAGUGGGUGGAGGGGUGGAGGGAUUGGGAGCAUGGUGUUGGGAUGACACUGUCCCACCUUAAAUCAUCAGGCAUUAGAUUCUCAUAAGGAGUGCACAACCUAGAUCCCUCACAUGCACAGUUCACAAUAGGGUUAGCGCUCCUAUGAGAAUCUAAUGCUGCUGUUGGUCUGACAGGAGGUGGAGCUCAGGCGGUAAUGCUUGCUGGCUUGCCACCCAUCUCUUGCUGUGCAGCCCAGUUCCUGACAGGCCACUGACCAGUACUGGUUCACAGCCUGGGGACUGUGGACCCCUGGGUAAAUGGAAUUAAAGUAUUCUGAAGUCCUUGAAUUGUCUUGAAAGUGAAAAUGGUGGAGGCACUGAUUUAUAUUAGAAAUUAAUAAAUCAGGGGUACAUGUUUCAGUUUCUACGGUAUUUUGUAAAAGAAUAAGAGUAUGUAAAACUAACAAGAUAACAGAAGGAGAAUAUGAAAUAAAAUAAUCCAAAGGAAGGCAAAAAGAAAAAAAGGCGCAUAGAACAGAUGGGAACAAAUAGAAAACAAACACCCACAUGCAUCAAUCUCUACAUCAAGCAUAUGUGGACUAAAUAUUCCAAUUCAAAGGCAAUAUUAUUAUCACCCUGGAUAAAGAACAAAUAUAAUUCUCUGAGACUUAAAAACAACAUACCUUAAACAAGGAUACAGAAAGAUGGAAAGUAAAAGGAUGGAAAAAGGACUAUCAUGCAAGUAUUAACCAAAAGGAAGCUGGUGUAUUUAGUACACGAAGUGAACUUUCAGGUAUUACCAGAGUAUGAAGGAUAUUUCAUAAUGAUAAAGGGCUUGCUUUACCAGUACUAUACCGAUGGCUGAGGUAUUUGGGCUGUCUGUGAGGCUCAGAUGGGCUGCCUGUGGCCCUGCCUCACCUUGGAGAUGGCCCAGGAAGCUAACUGAGACUUGGAGUUGGUCGAAGAGGAGCCAGACUCUAAAUAUUUGAAGAUUGUGUGCGUAUGUGUGUGUGUGUUUAGGGGAAAACAUGAGAGGUAGAGUACUAUUCAAAAGGACAAGAAGUGGAACAUUUUCUUUUAUAAAUCAAAUAAAUGGUGGCUCUGAGCCUUCCCCCACCUCCUGCCUUUUUUGGGUCCAGAUUGCUAAGAAAUGUUAUUAAUGAUAGCUCACACUUACGACAUUAUUGCCUUCUAAGUGCUUUGUAGGUAUUAAUUUAUUUAAUCCUCACAACAGCCUUAGGAGACAGGCAUCAUCACUACCAUCGCCAUUUUACAGAUGGAAAAACCAGCAACCAUCAGAGCUGGUAUUCAAAAUAAGCCAAUUCAGAUUCCGAGUCCCGGCUCCUAACCAUGGAGUGGCCUCAGGGUUUUAUAGUUUGUCCGGCUCUUUGGAUGAACAUCACACCUCAUGGAGGAGAGUCCCUUCCAUUUUAACGGCUCCAGGUUGUCAUGGAAAUCCUCUGUAUACAAGAGGGUAAGGAGGAGGAUGAGAAGCAAUACAUGCUUAUUGGGACUUUCUAUCAUCCCAGGACUUAUCCAGGUCAUGAAAGACAAAGGCCGAGGAACUGCCCCAGACUGGAGGAGGCGGGAGACAUGGCAGCUGUGAAUGCACCGUGGGUCCUGAACCAGAAAAAGGAGCUCAGUGGGACGAUUGGUAACUUUUUGAUGCAAUCUGUCGGUGAGCUAAUAGUAUUGCUUCGAUGUUAAUUUCUUGGUUUUGAUCACUGUACUAUAACUAUGCAGAGUGUUAACAUUUGGGGAAGCUGGGUAAAGGGUAUGUGGGAAUUCUUUGUGCUAUUUUUGCAACUUUUCUCAUCAAGUUGGAAAUUAUUUCAAAAUUGAAAGCUAAUAAAAAUUACAAAAAUGUUCUUAACAUUAUUAUGGAAUAUUUCAAACAUAUAGAAAAAUAUAGAGAAUAAGCCUGGCCACUUUUACAGGUGGCUCAAAGGUACUGUUGGCACCAGACAGAGGAAUGAAGUUCCUGUAGGAGUUAAGCAUUGAGCUCUGCUGUCUCGCUUUCUGUGUCCAGAGGUGGCUCCUGGUAGUUGAAUUAGACCAUUACAUUUUGGGCAAGAGCUAUUUAAAUUUUUGGCAGCCUCUACUUUAGAAUAAAUCAGCAGACAAUCCACCUCUAUGGCCAUAGUAUUUGCUUAGUAAGAUAACACCUUAUUCCAACGCCCUACUUAGCAAUUCUCUUGGGAGACUUUUUUUUUUUCCAGACCUUGUCUUUUAUUACAGGGAUCUAAUCAUUACUGUCUAAAACAAAAACAUAUAGAUAAAGAUGGCCCCAAUUGCUUAAUGCUGCUUUUGAUAUUUUUCUUUAACUUCUUUAACUUUCAAAAAUGAACUUUUAAUUUUAGAACAGUUUUAGAGUUUCAGAAAAAUUGCAAAGAUGAUACAGAGUUACCAUAUUCUCUGCAGCCAGUUCCCCCUAUAUUAUCAGCUUACCUUAGUAGGGGAUAUUUGUUGCAAUUAAUGGACCAUUAUUGAUACAUCAUGAUUAACUGAAGUCCAUACUUUAUUUGGAUUUCCUUAGUCUAUCUAAUGUCUCUUUUCUGUUCCAGAAUCCCCUCCAGGAUUCCAAGAUAUCACAUUAAAUUUAGAUGUCAUGUCUAUUUAUGCUACUCUAGGGUGUGACAAUUUCUCAGAUUUCUUUGUUUUUGAUGUCCUUGAUAUUUUUGAGGAGUAUGGGUGGAGUAUUUUUAUAGGAUGUCUCUUGAUUUGGGAUUUGUCUGAUAUUUUUCUCAUGAUUAAACUGGGGCUAUGUGUUUUUAGGAGGAAGACAACAGGGGUAAUGUGCCAUUUUCGUCAUAUCAUAUCAAGAAUACAUAGUAUCUCUGGGCAUGGUGGCAGUCCAUAAAAAUUAGCUGGGUGUGGUGGCAGGCUGCUCAGGAGGCUGAGGCAGGGGAAUUGCUUGAACCCAGGAGGCAGAGGCUGCAGUAGGCCAAGACUGUGCCACUGCACUCCAGCCUGGGUGACACAGCGAGACUCCAUCUCAAAAAAGAAACACAUGAUAUUGACCUUCACCACCUGGCCACCUGGUAGUAUUUGUCAGGUUUCCCCACUGUAAAGUAAUUCCCACCUGCCUUCCACACUGAGCUCUUUGGAAGGAAGUCACUGUGUGCAGCCAAGAAGGAGCAGGGAGUUAUGCCUCACUGCUUUGAGGAUGGAGUAUCUACGUAAAUUAUUUGGAAUUCUUCUCUAUGGAGGGAUUUAUCUCUUGCCUCCCAAUUAUUUAUUUAUUCAAUCCAUUUAUUUGUGUUAGUAUAGACUCAUGGAUAUUUAUUUUAUACAUUGGGUUUUAAUCCAAUAUGACUUUAUUUUAUUGCUAAAAUUGUUUCAGCUUUGGCCAUUGGGAGCUCUUUCAGGUGGCUCCUAUGUUCCUAUUUAAUUGCUGUAUAAUAAUUGUACAUAUUAAUGUGGUACAUGUGUCAUUUUGAUCCGAGCAUAUAAUGUGUACUCAAAUCAGGGUAAUUGGGAUAUCCAUCACCUCAAAUUUAUCAUUUCUGUGUGUUGGGAACAUUCCAAAUCUUCCUUUCUUGCUAUUUUGAAAUACACAGUAAGUUCUUGUUAACUAUAGUCAUUGUACUGUGCUAUCAAACACGAGAACUUAUUUCUUUUAUCUAACUGUAUUUUUGUACCCAUUAACCAACUUCUCUUCCUGCCUCCCCCUCACCCUUUCCUGGCCUCUGGUAACCACCAAUCUACUAUCUUCUUGAGAUCCACUUUUUAGCUCUCCCAUGAGAGUGAGAACAUGUGAUAUUUGUGUUUCUGUGCCUGAUUUAUUUCAUUUAACAUAAUGUCUUCCUGUUUCAUUCAUGUUGCUGCAAGUGACAAGAUUUCAUUCCUUUUCAUGGCUGAAUAGUACUUUAUUGUGUCUAUAUGCCACAUUUUUUAAUCCAUUCAUCUGUUGAUGGAUACUUAGGUUGAUUCUACAUUUUUGCUAUUGUGAAUAGUGCUGCAGUAAAUAUGGGAGUGCAGAUAUCUCUGGUAUACUGGUUUCCUUUCUUUUGGAUAGAUACCCAGUAGCAGGAUUCCUGGAUCAUAUGGUGGCUCUAUUUUUAGCUUUCUGAGGAACCUCCACACUGUUUUCCAUAGUGGUUAUACUAAUUUAUAUUUUCACCUAUGUGUACAAGCUUGCCCUUUCUUCAUGGCCUCAAGCAUGUUAUUUUCUGUCUUUUUGAUCAUAGCCAUUUUAACUGGAGUGAGAUGAUAUCUCAUUGUGGUUUUGAUCUGCAUUUCCAUGCUAAUUAGUGAUGUUGUGUUCCUUUGAUAUAUCCCCAUCAUUGAGACUUUUCUUUUGAGCACUUGCUUAUUUCCUGGCAUAAUAAGAUGUUCCAGGCUCAUCUUGUAUAUUUUCUGCUCCAGUGCUAGAAUCAGCCAUUUCUCCAAUGAGCUUUUGGGAGAUAUUUGCUUUCUUGAUUACAGUUAGGAUUUUCUCAUAAGGGAAGUUUGUUGAUGGCCUGCAAACAAAUAGUAAAAUAGUAUGUGAUGUCAUGAAAAUUAAUUGUAUUUUUCCUUCUAGAUUUUGCAUAUAGAAGACGGUAAUUUUAAAAACAGUGAAAGAAGAAAUGUAUCUGAGAAUUCAAUCAGUCAAUAGACUUUAGACAUCUGAAAAGAAAACACAAGAGGUUCGGUUGGUGCAAUGUUCCUUUCUUCCCAGGACUUUCUGGUCUUCAAGGCUUUCUCAUGAGACAGAAGACUGAUGGAUGUAGAAGUUUCUAAGAGGACAGUUACGCUGCCAUGUUUUGAAGCAGGAAGACGUUACCACUUCUCAAAGGUCUUUAAUUGCCUGACCACUGCUUCUCUUUGGAAGGCUGUCAGGGUGAUGGAAUCUCAGAUCACAGCACAGAUAAAAUGGACAAAGAAAGAAAGAUACAAGAAGGAUGUAAAAAUGUCCAUAAUGAACUCAUGUAUCUUGCGGAAACCUCUAAUCUAAUGAGAAUGGAUUUUGUUGAGAAGAUUGUACACCAACAAUUAAUUAUUCAUGGCAGAGA